AACGAACGCUGGCGGCGUGCCUAAUACAUGCAAGUCGUGCGAGAAAGCCCGCUUCGGUGGGUAAGUAAAGCGGCGACCUGGUGAGUAACACGUGGAUAAUCUACCUUUAAGUUGGGGAUAAGCUUCCGAAAGGGGGUCUAAUACCGAAUAACAUCGUUUGAUGGCCUCAUCAGACGAUCAAAGGCGGCGCAAGCUGUCGCUUAGAGAUGAGUCCGCGCUCCAUUAGCCAGUUGGCGGGGUAAAAGCCCACCAAAGCUACGAUGGAUAGCCGGCCUGAGAGGAUGGUCAGCCGGAUUGGGACUGAGACACGGCCCAGACUCCUACGGGGGGCAGCAAUUAGGAAUCUUGCGCAAUGGGCGAAAGCCUGACGCAGCGACGCCG
rnacentral:rRNA from 1 species